rnacentral:rRNA from 1 species
UACGUAGGUGGCAAGCGUUGUCCGGAUUUACUGGGCGUAAAGGGCGUGCAGGCGGUCUGUUAAGUCUAGGGUGAAAGCUCCCGGCUGAACUGGGAGAGGUCCUUGGAUACUGGCGGACUUGAGGGAGGCAGAGGAAAGUGGAAUUCCCGGUGUAGUGGUGAUAUGCGUAGAUAUCGGGAGGAACACCAGUGGCGAAGGCUGCUUUCUGGGCCUUACCUGACGCUGAGACGCGAAAGCGUGGGGAGCGAACCGG